rnacentral:rRNA from 1 species
AUUGAACGCUGGCGGCAGGCCUAACACAUGCAAGUCGAACGGUAACAGGAAGACGCUUGCUUCUUUGCUGACGAGUGGCGGGCGGGUGAGUAAUGUCUGGGAAACUGCCUGAUGGAGGGGGAUAACUACUGGAAACGGUCGCUAAUACCGCAUAACGUCGCAAGACCAAAGAGGGGGACCUUCGGGCCUCUUGCCAUCGGAUGUGCCCAGAUGGGAUUAGCUAGUAGGUGGGGUAACGGCUCACCUAGGCGACGAUCCCUAGCGGGUCUGAGAGGAGGACAAGCCACACUGGAACGGGGACACGGUCCAGACUCCUACGGGAGGCAGCAGUGGGGAAUAUUGCACAAUGGGCGAAAGCCUGAUGCAGCAAGGCCGGGGGUAUGAAGAAGGCCUUCGGGUGGUAAAGUACUUUCAGCGGGGAGGAAGGGAGUAAAGUUAAUACCUUUGCUCAUUGACGUUACCCGCAGAAGAAGCACCGGCUAAUUCCGU